rnacentral:rRNA from 1 species
CAUAGCGACUAUCGUGGCAUAUCAAUAAGCGGAGGAAAAGAAACUAACAAGGAUUCCCCUAGUAACGGCGAGUGAAGCGGGAAGAGCUCAAAUUUGAAAUCUUAAAGGGUUUCCCUUUACGAAUUGUAGUUUAAAGAAGUGUUUUCUGUUGGAGUUUCGGUAAAAGUUCUUUGGAAUAGGACAUCAUAGAGGGUGAGAAUCCCGUAUUUGACCGUUACUUUCCAGCUGUGUGAUACACUUUCAAAGAGUCGGAUUGUUUAGGAAUGCAGUCCAAGAUGGGUGGUAAAUUUCAUCUAAAGCUAAAUAUUGGCGAGAGACCGAUAGCGAACAAGUACCGUGAGGGAAAGAUGAAAAGAACUUUGAAAAGAGAGUUAAACAGUACGUGAAAUUGUCAAAAGGGAAGCGUUUGACACCAGUGUUGUUUAGUUGAAAAUCAAUUCAAUAGUUUUUGAUUCUAAGUAGUAUUGACUUCAUCAGCUUGCUGCUCUCUUUACGAAACUUAUCUUGAAUGCACUUUUCAGUUAACAAGUCAACAUCAAUUUCUUUUGUUGUAAAAGGGUACGAGGAAGGUGGCUUGCGCUUUCGGAUAAAGUGUUUAUAGCCUUGUAUCCUCUGCAAUCGGAGAGAUUGAGGUCUGCAGCGUAGAUCCUUCGGGGUUAGAUACAGUUUGUGCUAAGUUAUAGCUUUUCAUAGACAACUUGUUGACUAUGUUUAGUCUUGUAGCUUACUCGCUUAUGCUAUUUUACCUACGCUUAGGAUGUUGAUAUGCAUGACUGAUAU